rnacentral:rRNA from 1 species
UACGUAGGGUGCGAGCGUUAAUCGGAAUUACUGGGCGUAAAGCGUGCGCAGGCGGUUCUAUAAGACAGAUGUGAAAUCCCCGGGCUCAACCUGGGAAUGGCAUUUGUGACUGUAGAGCUAGAGUACGGUAGAGGGGGAUGGAAUUCCGCGUGUAGCAGUGAAAUGCGUAGAUAUGCGGAGGAACACCGAUGGCGAAGGCAAUCCCCUGGACCUGUACUGACGCUCAUGCACGAAAGCGCCGGGAGCAAACCGCAUCAGAUGGCCCCGUAGUCC